UUGCCUUCAUUGGAACUACGUUUAUUGCUCAGUGGCAGAAUGCUUUGAAGCAAACAAAAGUCGGUGAAUCGGCAGCGACGUUUAUUGGUAGAAGGCCUCGCUUUUGUGUAGAAGCCAUCGGCUGUAUCUGAGACCCAUUAGGAAAAUUACUCGUCUAUCCUGACUGUGCCAACGUACAGCGUGUUGAAAGUCUUAGCAGCAGAGAAGAAUGUAAUGACACGCUUCACUAUCUUCUCGGAAGCCUCUUAAGACCCCAAUCGUCAUGAUGCAGGAUUAGCUGCUCGUCGUUCAGACAAGGACAUCCCUCUGACUUUUAGCGUCACACUUGCGCCAGCACUGGAGGGAAUCCUUGUUG